rnacentral:lncRNA from 1 species
AUUCCAUUUGGGUUGCUCUCGGCUCCAGGAGAUGACUUCUUCAGGUCCAUAUCACUGAGGCUGUGAGUCUCAGCUAAGGAAACACCCAUGAUUCAUGGGCAUCUCUUACCCCAGCUCUCUGCCUCUUUCUGGAUGUGACCUCUACCUCCCCACCCCAUCCAUCUAGACUGCUGUGUCUGGCCUCAGUAGCAGAGGAUGUGAUCACAGAGACUGGAUAUGCAAGAGAACCCGGGGCCGAUCCCCAGCUCCCGAGUGACAGCUCACAAGUGGCUGUAAUUUCCGCAUCACGGAAUCUAACACCCUCUUCAACCUCCUGGACACUAGGCAUGGAUGUGCUGCACACGUGAACAAGCAGACUUAAAGGGAAGGCACAUCUCGAUGUCUGCACAGUAACGAGGUCGUCAGAGAAGAUUUUUAAGAUGUGUACAGUGAGCCAUGAAAGUGAAGAAGGAUCAAGCAAACAACACCAGACCCCUUCAUGCCACAACCUUCAAUAUGACAGCUGGUAUCUGUAACUUAAUAAUUACUGUCUCUUUAUAGAAUACGUUUUCUUAGCAGGAGUAUUACUGUGUAGGCUUUAAAUGUGUGUUUUCUUAAUAUUGUUCAUGAUAUUCUAUCAAUCAGACUAUUGAUUUAAAUAAAGAAAAAAAAGAUGUAUUGUCUGGAUAUGUAGUCCAGGCUAACCUGAAAUUCCUAAUUUCUCUCCCUCAGUCUCUUGAAUGUGAGCAUUCUAAGAGCAAGACAUGGCGUCUGGCUUGAUAGAAAUUCCUUCCUAUUCUUUCAUCUCAACAUCUUAGAAUUCCACCAAACUACCUGUAUUUCUGUACACAUAGUAUCUAUGCAGUUCAUUCCUCUUUGCUCACUUUUGCAUAUGGCACCUGCUGUGUGCUUGUUUGGUUACUUACAUGGAAAACUGUUCAGUUCCAGC